AUCCAGCUGAAGAAUCCUAAAUAGGACGAAACGCACAUUCUGGAU
rnacentral:hammerhead_ribozyme from 1 species